CACACCGCCCGUCACACCAUGGGAGUUGGUUGCACCAGAAGCAGGUAGCUUAACCUUCGGGAGGGCGCUUGCCACGGUGUGGCCGAUGACUGGGGUG
rnacentral:rRNA from 1 species